CACUAGCACGCUCAUGCAUAGACUGUUAGGCAUAUAUUUUGUUUUUUCAAGGCUGCUUCUUCACACUUCAAUCAAUCAGAAAGGUUCGUCUCCGUCUGGAACAAUCUGUUUUCAAGAAUCUAUGCUCUCUCUCUUUCCCUUUUAUGCUUACCAAGCCUUCGAUUUCGCCUUAAAUUUACACCCACUUUUCAAUUAAAACCCUAACGCUUUCCAUUUCUGAUUUCUCUAUCAAAUAAUAUUUUAUAGGGUUAUCUAAUCUGCGAGACUCAGGGUUGAUAGAUUGAUGUUGUUUGGGAGUCGAAGAAGCAAAGAUUGAUUGAUACUUUACAAUGGGAUUUGAUAAUGAGUGCAUACCUAACAUUCAAUCUCUUUCUGGAGAGUAUUUCUGUCCCGUUUGUCGCCUUCUUGUGUACCCAAAUGAAGCAUUACAAUCACAAUGCACUCACUUGUACUGCAAACCCUGUUUGACAUAUGUCGUCAGCACUACCCGAGCCUGCCCCUAUGACGGCUACCUUGUGACAGAAGCAGAUUCCAAGCCUCUUAUUGAAUCGAACAAGGUACUUGCUGAAACCAUUGGCAAGAUAACUGUCCAUUGUUUAUAUCAUAGGAGUGGGUGCCCCUGGCAGGGUCCUCUGUCUGAGUGCACAUCUCAUUGCUCGGGAUGUGCCUUUGGUAAUUCUCCUGUAGUUUGCAACAGGUGUGGAAUUCAAAUUGUGCAUAGUCAAGUGCAGGAACAUGCUCAAAAUUGUCCAGGUGUGCAGCCUCAAGCGCAACCUGCUGAGGGUGCCCAAGAUGCAACAAGCACAGGCGCACCAACUACUGGUGAUCAGGCUCAGGCUGCCAUUCAAACAGGUACAGCAACUCCCCAGGCUCAAACUUCUAUGACCUCAACUCCUGGAAAAGAUACCACCCAACAAAUCAACGCAACUACCCAGGCCCAGACUGCAGUACAGGCUGCGAUGCCCACUGCAGAACAGUGGUAUCAACAGCAACAGCAAUAUCAGCAGUACUACCAGCAGUAUCCUGGAUAUGACCCAUAUCAACAGCAUUAUCAGCAGUACUAUCCAUACCAACAGCAAGCAGUUUCACAAUACCAGCAACCGCAGGUGAGCAUGCAUGCUCAAGUCCCCCAACCCCAGCUGCAGACCCAACCUCAACCUCAAGUACCCAUUGCUGCCCAACCUCAGAACCAGGUACAAGUGAAUCCACAGCAACAAACUCACCUUACAGUUCAGCAACAAUCUCUGACCCAACUGCAGGCACAUCCACCAGCCCAUGGCUAUCCACCUCCUCAGGCUCAAUCCAAUCCACAACCCCACCCUGUUCAGCCUCUUCCACAGCACGUGCCUCAAUAUCAGCAUCCUCAAUUGCAGGUGCAGCAUCCACAGCCCCAAAUUCAGGCACAGACUAAUUCUCAGCUUCACCCUCAAAAGCAUCCUGUUCCUCAACCUCAUGUACAAGCUCAGCCACAAACACUCCAGCCCCUUCCACAAUCCCUGGCUUCUCAGCCCAGCCAGACUGUUAAUCCUAAUCUCCAGACCCAGCCUCAGCAAUCUUCAGUCAAUGCAGUGACAGGCCAUCAUUCUUAUCAACAGCCCCAGAUUCACCAACAAAUGCAGACAGGAGCCCUAAAACACUCUCAAGGUGGACCUCAACCUCAUUCACAACAGCCUGUUCAAAUGCAGAGUCAGUUCCCUCAACAAUCAUCUUUAUGGCCUCAGCCACAAUAUCAUGCUGCAGUUCAAAACCUGCAGCAACCAGGUUUGCUGCCUUCACAAGGUCAAGUCCCGAACAUUCCUCCUGCACUACAACAGCCAAUUCAUUCUCAUGCACAUCAACCUGGACUUCCUGUUCAACAACGUCCUGGUAUGCAGCCAACUCCGCAACCAAUGCAUCAGCAAUAUGCACAGCACCAGCAGCCCUUUUCUGGGCAACCAUGGGGUGCAGUUCACAAUCAAGCACAUCAGCAAGGUCCUUAUGUGCAGCAGCAGCUGCAUCCACAGACUCAACUACGCCCCCAAGGAUUACCCCAGUCAUUCCAGCAACCUUCUCAUGCCUAUCCACAUCCCCAGCAAAAUGUUCUAUUACCGCAUGGUGCACAUCCCCAUCAAGCUAAAAGUCUUGCAGUAGGGCCUGGAUUACCUGCACAGUCAUAUCCACAAUCUGCCCCUGGUAUGCAGGUCAGGUCGAUUCAGAUUGGUGCGAACCAGCAAUCUGGAAAUAUUCUUAAGACAAAUAACCAAGUUGAAUUAUCUUCUGACCAACAAUCAGGGGUUAGUUCUACACAAAGGCAAGGUGAUAUUGAGAAAGGUGCAGAAGGUGAAUUGUCUGCUCAAAAAACUAUUAAAAAGGAAUUAAAUGAUUUGGAUGCUGGUCUUGCAGCUGAUGCAAGUGAGAUAAAAACCAUACAAUCUGAAAGCGACUUGAAGCAAGUGGAUGACAAAAAUAAACCCACAGGUGAAGCUAAGGAUGUUCCAGAAUCACUUGCAGCAGCAAAUGGAGAGUCUUCAAUUAAGCAGGUGAAAGAAGAGCAUAGAGAUGGUGCUGAUGAGCAAAAUGAUGUUUCUAAUGCUGACCAUGAAAAGGUGGAGCUCUCUGUUUCAGAACACAAGGAUGGUCCUCUGCUGGAAACUGCCCCGUCUCACCUUGAAGAACAAAUUAUGAAAUUGCAGAAGGACAAAACUCUGACUUCUCAAAGUUUUGGAGGCUUUCCUCCAAAUGGUCACGUGCAAUCUCAAUCAGUUUCAGCUGUUGACCAGGGAAAGCUAGAGCCUCUUCCAAUUCAUCACGGGCCCUCUGCUGCUCAACAAAGGCCUGUUGGACCUUCAUUGGUGCAAGCAUCUCCUCUUGGACCUCCACAUCACAUGCAAUUGCCUGGGCAUCCUCCAACUCAACAUGGGCGUUUAGGUCCUGGACAUGUACCAAGUCAUUAUGGUCCUCCUCAAGGGGCUUAUCCUCAUGCACCCGCACCCCCAUCUCAAGGUGAGCGAACUCCUUCACAUGUCCAUGAAGCCACCAUGUUUGCAAAUCAGAGGCCUAAAUAUCCAGAUGGUAGACAAGGCACGUACUCAAAUGUGGUGGGAAUGAAUGGGGCCCAAGGCCCUAAUUCAGAUAGGUUCAGCUCUUUACCAGAUGAACAUUUGAAUCCCUUCCCACGUGGCCCAGCACAACACAAUGUUCAUCAAGGAGAGUUUGAAGAAGAUCUGAAGCAUUUCCCCAGGCCCUCUCAUUUGGACACCAAACCUGUUCCAAAAUCUAGUAGUCACUUUCCUUCAUCCAGACCUCUUGAUUGGGGUCCUCGUGGUUUUGGUGUGGACGGAGCACCAAGACCUCUUGACAAGGGAUCCCAUGGUUUCAAUUAUGAUUCAGGGUUGAACAUGGAACCACUGGGUGGCUCUGCUCCUCCAAGAUUCUUUCCUCCCUAUCAUCAUGAUAAAGCAUUGCAUCCCAGUGAUGCGGAAGUAUCAUUAGGUUAUCAUGACAGUCUAGCAGGCCGAUCUGAUUUUGCUCAAACUCGUCCUGGUUUUCUUGGCCCCCCUAUUCCUGGAUAUGAUCACCGUCAUAUGGAUAAUUUGGCCCCAAGAAGUCCAGUUAGGGAUUACCUUGGCAUGCCUACACGGAGAUUUGGUGCCCUUCCAGGCCUAGAUGAUAUUGAUGGCAGAGAUCCACACCGAUUUGGUGAUACAUUUUCUAGUUCUCUCCGUGAUAGUAGGUUUCCAGUUUUUCCUAGCCAUUUGCGCAGGGGUGAGCUUGAGGGUGCUGGUAAUUUGCACAUGGGUGAGCAUUUGAGUGGUGAUUUGAUGGGACAUGAUGGUCGGCCUGCCCAUUUGCGGAGGGGUGAACAUUUGGGUCCUCGUAACCUGCCUAGUCAUUUGUGGGCGGGAGAGCCAGGUAACUUUGGUGCUUUCCCUGGUCAUGCACGAAUGGGAGAAUUGGCUGGGCCAGGGAACUUCUAUCAUCAUCAACUUGGUGAGCCUGGAUUUAGAAGCAGCUUUGGUGGAAACUAUGCAGGCGACUUGCAGUUUUUUGAUAAUUCUAGAAAGAGAAAACCAAGCAUGGGAUGGUGUCGUAUAUGUAAAGUUGACUGUGAAACAGUUGAAGCCCUGGACUUGCAUUCACAAACGAGGGAGCACCAAAAGAUGGCUCUAGAUAUGGUUGUAACCAUCAAGCAGAAUGCAAAGAAGCAUAAAUCAACUCCCAGUCAUCAUUCCUCACUUGAAGAUAAAAGCAAGUCAAGGAAUGCAAGUUUCGAGGGACGUGGGAAUAAACAUUAACUCAUGAUGGUGCCUGGCAAUUGAAUCGCAUUGGACUUGUUGCAGUUGAAUUUGUUCCUUUGGUAAUUUGAACUUGGCAACAUCGGUGAUUCAACCUUCCAUUGCCCAUUUCCUGCAUUUCCCAAUGGUUUAUGCCAGUUUUGUCAAUUCAGGUUGCUGCCUUGUUAAAAGGAGAGUUUUCGGACCUGAAGUUCAGUGGCAAUAUUUUCAAUUCGGCCUGUCUUUUUGGGUGAAGCCUACAACAAAAAGACUGAAAGUUCAGCGGAAAGGUUUACCCAGUCGUCUUUUUUAGAUGUGGUGAGGUUAUGUUCAUCCAACAGAUGUAAGUCGCGAACUUUUGCUUGUUAGUAUUGAUGAUUUGAAUUUUCUUUAUUACCGAAGUAGAAUUUUUUUGUGUAGAUUUUUCACCCUCUUAAUGAUCAAGCAUUUGAUUGCUGCAAAUGACUAGGAUAGGCAUACUAAUCUUAGGAAACUAAGAGGCUUGAAAAUGACUAGGAUCAAGUAUAAAUUGGCUAGCUGAUAUUAGAAAACUAAGAGGCUUCUAGAAUAGCUUUCUUAUCUUGGUCGGCUGAUUUCUCUAUUAUCCUCUAAGUAUCUUUGGCAUUCCUUAUCUGUGGGGUGGGGGGUGGGGUGAUGAAUCCUUUGUAUAGUACCUUUCCAUUUUUCUGUAGUUUUUAAAACAUAAUAUGUUGGACUUGAGAACUUUGAAUAAUUUGCUGCACAUAUGAAGUUACUAGUUUAAAGGAAAUCGCAUAUGAGGGUGCUAGUUUAAAGGAAAUCAUGAAACAUGAUCGACACUCCUUGACGUGGAAAGAAUUAAUACAAAAUAUUGGGGGUUAGAAGAAAAAUAAAAAUGAAUCUCAAUUGUAAAUGGAUAUUUCAAAUAGGAGUUGUGUCAUAUAUGAAGUCAGGCUGCUACGGUUAUAAUGGCUUAAGCACCAGCUUAGUAUAUUUUAGGAUAGAGAGGAUGGGCAUUAUGCAACUCUUAAACAAAGCUUAUAACAUUGACUGCAAUGUACAAAAGAACAGAAAAACAAAGGAAUAAAAAGAAAAAUAUGUGGUUUGCCCGGGUUGGACAUGAUGAAAUUAUUGUCAUCUGCUAUCUAGGGAAGAGGGUUUACUACUCCUCUGGCUUUGUGUAUUUUUGGUGAGACUGGCUGGACUAUACUCCGUAUUCUAUAGUAUAUAUUUAGAGCAGAAGCUGCUAUUUUCUGCACUUGCAGUAUGAUGAGACAUGCCAUGUUAAGUAAAGUACGCUGGUUAAUUAUACUUUAUAAAGCCUUUGUCAAGGAUCAUAAACCAAAUUUGUUUCUCUAGGUUUAUGAGCGUUCAACUGCACUGUGUAAAAUACAUGUUGGAAGUUGUAGGCUUAGAAUAUGUGCUCGGAGAAACUAUAUCAACUGCUUCAUAGUUUAUUGGUACACCAUCAGUGUUUAAAUUGAUGCCGUGGAACACACAAGCAAGGUUUUUCACUAGUAUAUAAUUUCUGAAAAAAAGAAGCAAAUAAGGAACUACACAAACCUCCCCCUCAGACUACUGCCUGGUCAAACUAAUUAGGUUGAAAUAAAUUGUGGUUGUGCCAUUCAUAAUCCGCCGCAGCAUGGGUUGCUGCAAAUUUAGACACCCAUUAAAGGAACACACUCAUAAAUUGUGGUCUUAAUUGCUAAAGAAAGUGAGAUACAGAAAAUUUAGACCCAAAUAUUAUAAUAUCAACAAAAUCAUUGACGUUUGCUUCAGAUUCGUCCUCUUGAUUGGCAAUUAAGUGGUCAUAACCUGGUCUCUUAAUGUUAGCUACUAGUUGAAAUGUUGCCAAAGUAAUUGAAGAAUGCUGAUUUCAUGUAAAACAUCUAAACUUACUUAAUAUUCAAGAUCACUGCAUAGACACAAUUCAAAACACUAAGUUAUUGUGACUCAUUCAGUUGAUAUUAAUUUUGGUUCAUUUAUGCAAUUGUGAUUCUAUUAUGGACCUCUUAUGCUUUAUGAACUCUUAUAAUCUCUUAUAACAAAAAAAUGGUGCUUUACUCAAAGCAAUGCCGCAGCCUUUUCACUAGGAGACAUCCUCUGGACUUCAAACCUGCUUCUUCAUCUGUUUCACCAGGUUUGUGGUUUUUAUUCCUGAAGAUUCUGAGAAUUUUCCACUCAAAUAAUGAAUCCUGUCUGGUCGCUUUUCUUCAUAUGUAACAUCGGGGUUGUGCUGGCAAUCUUUCCACCUGAUGCUUAGGUAUUGAUCAUCAUGUGGACUUCUUUAUUGGAUAGAAAAGUGUUUUAAUUCUUCAAACUAGGACACAAAGCUCACAUCAAUGGACGGCAUCAUAUUGAAUAGCUAUGCUAGACAGAUACUAGCUGCUGUCAUCUAGGUCAUUGUUGUCAAAUUUUCGAUUAACUAAUCCCUUGAACAUUGAUUAGGGUGUUAUGUCAUAUUUUGCCUGCUAGAUAAGGUUAAAAAAUGAAGAAGAAAUAUUAAAGAGUAAAUUUUCAGGGGUAAAUGUAAUGGUGUUUUGGUUAAGUGCUUAGGGAUGAACACGAUUUGAAUUUUGAGGGGCAACCCUGUAUAAUUGUAGGUUAAUAUCACACCCAGUUUUGGGGUGAAAUGCAUGCUCCCUUAACUUUUUUCCUCUCCCUGUUUAUACCAUGGUGAACAAGCGUGAAUGCUACUAGGACAAUUCUCUACCCCCCUGUAUACACAAACGUAGGUUGGAAUCUUACCAAUUGAAUUAGAAAAGAAGGUUUAGAAGAAAUGGUUGUCAAUAAAGCAAAAUGUCAUGAAGGUAAAAGAUAUGUUGUGCUGGUGACUUGGUGUAUGAGAAUUGGUGAUGAUUGAUAAGUUAGUGUGCUCAGUACCAUAACAUAAACGUUGUCAGCAGUUGGUGUCAGACACGUGCUCUUAGAUUAAGCAUGCUUCAAUGGAGAACAGAAUCUGUAACUAAUGCACUUUAUAGAUGAUGUUGGGGAAAAUAAUGCAUUUGUGAAGAUGCAAUGCUUGGUGUCCAAAAAAAAACAGGGUUGAUGAAUGGUUAAGAAGAUACCUUUCAUCAAAACAAACCUGCUGCUGGGCCUGAGAAUACCAAAGUAGGAGCAACACAAGAAAAAGGAAGUGCUAGUAGCUGAAAAUGCUAUAGGAGAUGUGAAUCUUUACUUUUUACAGUUCAAAUAUAAUCUCUUCCUCCCACUUAACAGUAACAUUAUGCAAAAAAUAGACAAUUGGUGGCCUUAACAUGCAGAUUAAUUGUAAGCUGUUCAAGCUAUUUGAUGCUAAGAACUUUACUUUAUUGGCAUAUUAAAUAAAUUACUGUCGUUUGUUGCUGAAGGUACAACUCUUUCUUUCAGAGUAAUGUUCCAUCAAUUUUUUAAUAGAAAUUAUCCACUAGUGUUAUGCUGUAUCCUUUAGCAAGUACUAUGUUUUGAUUUAUCUGUGCAACUCUUCUAAUGGAUAUUACCAAUGCAUCCAUAAAUAAUUUAUUUUAUGUGGUUCUGUGAUUUCUUGACAAUUUCUUGACACUUUCAGGAUGAACAAAAAAUCUAAAACUGGAAAUUCAUUUAUUACAAGUCAACAGAUUUGUCGUCAAUAUAAAAUUGAGUUAUAUACCUUAGAAAUUUAAAUGAGAUUUAAGAUGAUAAUGAUGAUAUUGGGCAGUAUCUUCUGUGUAUGUCUGAUGUACACUUUUGUUAUGAACUCAUCAAGCAACGAUUUCAAAGUUUACACUUUUUAUACAGGGCUGUGAUUCAAUAAUAUGUUGAAAGCUGUUUACUUUUUAGUCCACCUUGCAAGUUAACUUGUGGAGCGUAUCUAGCAUUUUCAUUUUGUUUCUUAUUUGGUAGUGGGUUGCAUCUUAUUUGUCAGUUAACUUGUGGAGGGUAUCUAGCAUUUUCAUUUCAAUUAUCUGUGAUGUUUUAGGCUUUAUUCAUCAGUUUGUUGACAUCAAUGUGGUACACCAUUACGUGAUCUUGUGUUUGAAGGGGGAAAAAAGUGAGAGUUAACAAUAAUACCUUUUGGUAUUACCUCUUAAGAAGCUCCAGUAGAAUAAUGGAUCUAUGGUCAUUCCCUUUCUACAAAGCAAAAUCAAUGUAAUAUUUUUAUGAUGUUUUGAUGCAAAAUUUAUAAUGGUCUCAAUUCCCCUUCUCCACAACAUGGCUUUGAAGUCCGCUUGGGUGGAGAGCAAUGUUGUAAAAUGUUGAGAAACAACUGCUAUCAAAUACAAUCGAAAUGGUUUCUUCCGCGAUUUAAGCUGUUUCAAUUUCUGCUUGGAGUAGGCAUGUGCAUGAACAAAUCAAUCCCCUUUUACAUUAGUGUGGGAUUUAUGGUGGGUUACUGGGAGAAAGUUGAAUAAUAUGAGAGGAUGCAUGUAGACUUUGGAUAAUUUUCAGGAAACGUUUCUUAUGAAAUUACCGGGAUAAGAAAAGAGUCUAAUCACGAUUCUCUGAACACUAGAUUUAACAGAAGAUAGCAUGUAGGCAGGCAGGCCCUCGUUACCUGAAUUUAAUGAAUGUUCACGGAGUCUCUGUGGGUCUUGAUACUGUUACCCCUGAGAGUUAAUUGUUAGGCGACGGGAAUUUCUUUUUAAUCUUCAAAAUCACGUUUCUUGCCGAAAAUACAUGCCCAAGGAAUUGCAUGCAUCUUCGGAGAGUGAUCAUAAUGGCCUAUCAUCAAGUAUGAACCCAGCGUCUGGAUUGUUGUCUAAAGGCGCAGUACGGAAGAAGAAAAGAAGCAGGGUGUACAAGGUGGUGCUAGGAAUAUGCGGCCCUUCAGUUGGGCUUUGGGUUAUCAUUUAUUAAUGCUUGCUGCCUUUUCCCUUUCUUUUCGGGUCUCUCUUCAUAAUGUCUCAAUAAUCUAUUGUGGAACUUUGGUUCUAAUCCAUGUAGCUAACCCUGCAUCAUCAAGUGUGCUUGUCUAUACAAGGAACAAGGGACGGCCUCUUCCGGGAAAAGAAGCUUUUUUCUAGUGGCGGUUUACUUUCUCUGGGGUUUUCCUAUACACCCACACCUUUCCAUUAAAGCUUCAGUUGUUUUACGUGGAAUAUAUUCUUUAUCUCACAUAUAAGUAGGCAUAUAUACCAGGGAAUUGUGGCUUAAUUUUUUAAUUUUGUAUUGCUGAGAAAUGUUAGCUUUGUACUGAUACUGUCAUGGGUUGAAAUAUGAUAUAGGAACUGUACUAUUCUGCUUCGAA